GGGCGGUUACCGAAGUGGACAAACGGGGCGGGCUGUAAACCCGUCGGCUUACGCCUUCGCAGGUUCGAAUCCUGCACCGCCCA
rnacentral:tRNA from 1 species